UAGAGUUUGAUCAUGGCUCAGAUUGAACGCUGGCGGCAUGCCUUACACAUGCAAGUCGAACGGCAGCGCGGGGCAACCUGGCGGCGAGUGGCGAACGGGUGAGUAAUAUAUCGGAACGUACCCUAGAGUGGGGGAUAACGUAGCGAAAGUUACGCUAAUACCGCAUACGAUCUAAGGAUGAAAGUGGGGGAUUCGUAAGAACCUCAUGCUCGUGGAGCGGCCGAUAUCUGAUUAGCUAGUUGGUAGGGUAAAAGCCUACCAAGGCAUCGAUCAGUAGCUGGUCUGAGAGGACGACCAGCCACACUGGGACUGAGACACGGCCCAGACUCCUACGGGAGGCAGCAGUGGGGAAUUUUGGACAAUGGGCGCAAGCCUGAUCCAGCAAUGCCGCGUGAGUGAAGAAGGCCUUCGGGUUGUAAAGCUCUUUUGUCAGGGAAGAAACGGUGAUUUCUAAUACAGAUUGCUAAUGACGGUACCUGAAGAAUAAGCACCGGCUAACUACGUGCCAGCAGCCGGCGGUAC
rnacentral:rRNA from 1 species